AUUCCAGCUCCAAUAGCGUAUAUUAAAGUUGUUGCAGUUAAAAAGCUCGUAGUUGGAUUUCAGUCUUAAUUCGUCUGGCCCGCUCCCUUGAGGAGCCGAGUGCCGGUUGCGAAUUGGACUUCCUUCUAGCAUGAAUCUCCUACCGUUAUGCGGCCGGGAAGGACAUCUGGAUCAUUUACUUUGAAGAAAUUAGAGUGUUCAAAGCAAGCUUACACUGUGAAUAUAUUAGCAUGGAAUAAUAACAUAGGACUCGGGUUCUAUUUUGUUGGUCUCUAGGACUCAAGUAAUGAUUGAUAGGGACAGUUGGGGGUGCUGCUAUUAUAUGGCCAGAGGUGAAAUUCACGGAUUCAUAUAAGAGCAACUUAUGCGAAAGCAUUCACCAAGGAUGUCUUCAUUG
rnacentral:rRNA from 1 species